AUAUACAGGGUUGUCUAAGUUCACCGUGUUUGAAGCAGUGACGUCAUUAUAAACAUUACAUCAUUACAAAUAAUCUUAGUUGAAGGAUUCAGCACCAUGAUGAGAGAUAUAAUAAAUUAAAUAUACAGUCUCGAGCUCUCAUACAGGGCCAGUAGAGACUCAGAGGGAUGCUUACGCCUAGCUGGAGGACCUUGCUCACUGGAGGAACUUGCUUACUUUUGUGAGGGAUGGCCAGUGUGGCAUUCUUCUGUUAGCAGUGAAACAAAAUAGAGGGUACACACUGUCAGUUUCCAUCAAACAUUUUCUUGUCACGAAUCGUACACUUUAGUUACCGCUCAACUUUGUAUAUACUCGAAGUUGUAUUUUUUGAUCGUAAUGUGUGCAUAGCAUGUACAGUGCAACAACCAAAGAGAGUAGAUUUUUUUUUUUGGUACACAUUUUUUACAUUUUAUGGCAUAUCUUCUAAAGUAAAAGUGAUAUGAUCUAUUUGAGUGCAGGUA